GACGAACGCUGGCGGCGUGCUUAACACAUGCAAGUCGAACGAUGAUGCCAGCUUGCUGGUGGAUUAGUGGCGAACGGGUGCGUAACACGUGAGCAACCUGCCCCUGACUUCGGGAUCACCGCGGGAAACCGUGGCUAAUACCGGAUAUGACGCGCUAUCGCAUGGUGGUGUGUGGAAAGAUUUAUCGGUUGGGGAUGGGCUCGCGGCCUAUCCGCUUGUUGGUGGGGUGAUGGCCUACCCAGGCGACGACGGGUAGCCGGCCUGAGAGGGUGACCGGCCACACUGGGACGGAGACACGGCGCAGACUCCUACGGGAGGCAGCAGUGGGGAAUAGUGCACAAUGGGCGCAAGCCGGAUGCAGCGACGCGGCGUGAGGGAUGACGGCCUUCGGGUUGUAAACCUCUUUCAGUAGGGAAGAAGGCCGUCGGGUUGACGGUACCUGCAGAAGAAGCGCCGGCUAACUACGUG
rnacentral:rRNA from 1 species